GACGAACGCUGGCGGCGUGCCUAAUACAUGCAAGUAGAACGCAGUUGCGAACGGGUGAGUAACGCGUAGGUAACUGCCUGGUAGCGGGGGAUAACUAUUGGAAACGAUAGCUAAUACCGCAUACUACCAGAUGGACCUGCGUUGUAUUAGCUAGUUGGUGGGGUAACGGCUCACCAAGGCAACGAUACAUAGCCGCGCUGGGAGGGUGGUCGGGCAAACGUGGACCUAGACAAGGGCCAGACUCCUACGGGAGGCAGCAGGAGGGGAUUGUCGGCAAAGGGCGGAAGUCGUGCCGAGCAAAGCCUCGGGAGUGAAGAAGGUUUUCGGAGCGUAAAGCUCUGUUGUAAGGGAAGCGGUAUCUUACCAGGAAGGGACGGCGAACUACGUGCCAGCAGCCGCGGUAAUUC
rnacentral:rRNA from 1 species